rnacentral:lncRNA from 1 species
AAUUAUGAGGAAAGAAGCUCUCAGCAUUCCAAAGCAGAAGGAACAACUGUCUUGAAUAUGUCGAAAAUUGCUGUCUUUAAGAUGAAGCACCCAGAGGACCACAAUCCUCGGAUUUUAUGAGAAGACCUUCUGCCCUGCCUGCCCUUUUGAGACCUUUAUCUGAAAAGGAACCUGCAAUCCUAGAAAAGAGGUGGAGGCAGGCUUGAUUCAGUUAAGGAAGUUCUUUCUUCUCAGCAAUUACCACGCCAAUUCUGUGGAAAAGCAACAUUUGGAAGACGAGAGAAAUCCACUGUAGGAAGUAUUAGAAAUACCUGCAAUUAGGCUUCAAACAAGCAAAUGAGGGCAGGAAAAGUAAAUGACGACAGCCUGUGUCCUCUCCAUGACACCACUCUGCCUCCAUGGAACCACUCUGCCCCCAUGGAUCUCUCCAGUUUUAAGUCUGGGGAAAUCUAUCAAUCACACAAUUUCAGUUAGCAUUCCAAGAACUAGGGGAAGGCCCGAGUAAUCUAUUCAAAGACAUGCUUCAGAAAGAACACACCGACCCCAUGGAGAGUUAAACCUGAUUACCAAGAAGCAGGAUAGUUAGGUGUUUCCGCUAUUUACAUAAUCAUUGUAAAUAUAAGUUACAGACUAAUUACAAUGAUAAUUAUGACAAUGAGCCUGGCAUGGAGGAAGAGUUUAAUAAAUAAUAUUUGAUGAAUGAA